GACGAACGCUGGCGGCGUGCUUAACACAUGCAAGUCGAGCGGAAAGGCUCCAGCUUGCUGGAGUACUCGAGUGGCGAACGGGUGAGUAACACGUGGGCAAUCUGCCCUGCACUCUGGGAUAAGCCUGGGAAACUGGGUCUAAUACUGGAUAUGACGUUUCUCCUUAUGGGGUUUGGUGGAAAGUUUUUCGGUGUAGGAUGAGCCCGCGGCCUCUCAGCUUGUUGGUGGGGUGAUGGCCUACCAAGGCGACGACGGGUAGCCGGCCUGAGAGGGUGAUCGGGCACAUUGGGACUGAGAUACGGCCCAGACUCCUACGGGAGGCAGCAGUGGGGAAUAUUGCACAAUGGGCGGAAGCCUGAUGCAGCGACGCCGCGUGAGGGAUGACGGCCUUCGGGUUGUAAACCUCUUUCAGCAGGGACGAAGCGUAAGUGACGGUACCUGCAGAAGAAGCACCAGCUAACUACGUGCCAGCCGCCGCAGUAA
rnacentral:rRNA from 1 species